rnacentral:rRNA from 1 species
AGAAUCAACGCUGGCGGCGUGCCUAACACAUGCAAGUCGAACGAGAAAGUGGAGCAAUCCAUGAGUAAAGUGGCGCACGGGUGAGUAACACGUGACUAACCUACCCUUGAGUGGGGAAUAACCUCGGGAAACCGGGGCUAAUACCGCAUAACACCUACGGGUCAAAGGAGCAAUUCGCUUAAGGAGGGGGUCGCGGCAGAUUAGUUAGUUGGCGGGGUAAUGGCCCACCAAGACGGCGAUCUGUAU